rnacentral:rRNA from 1 species
UACGUAGGUGGCAAGCGUUGUCCGGAUUUACUGGGCGUAAAGAGCGCGCAGGCGGUCGUUCAAGUCGCGUGUGAAAGCCCCUGGCUCAACUGGGGGGAGUCAAUGGAGACUAUUCGACUUGAGGGCAACAGAGGCACAUGGAACUCCCGGUGUAGCGGUGAAAUGUGUAGAGAUCGGGAGGAACACCGGUGGCGAAGGCGGUCUCUGGACG